UUGCCAGACUCCUACGGGAGGCAGCAGUGAGGAAUAUUGGUCAAUGGGCGGAAGCCUGAACCAGCCAAGUCGCGUGAGGGACUAAGGCCCUGCGGGUCGUAAACCUCUUUUGCCGGGGAGCAGUGGUCCGGACGCGUCCGGACCGGGAGAGUACCCGGAGAAAAAGCAUCGGCUAACUCCGUGCCAGCAGCCGCGGUAAUACGGAAGGUCCGGGCGUUAUCCGGAUUUAUUGGGUUUAAAGGGAGCGUAGGCCGGUCUUUAAGCGUGCCGUGAAAUUUUGUGGCUCAACCAUGAGAGUGCGGCGCGAACUGGAGACCUUGAGUGCGCGGAAGGCAGGCGGAAUUCGUGGUGUAGCGGUGAAAUGCUUAGAUAUCACGAAGAACCCCGAUUGCGAAGGCAGCCUGCCGCAGCGUUACUGACGCUGAAGCUCGAAAGCGCGGGUAUCGAACAGGAUUAGAUACCCCUGUAAU
rnacentral:rRNA from 1 species